rnacentral:rRNA from 1 species
UACGUAGGGUGCGAGCGUUGUCCGGAAUUAUUGGGCGUAAAGAGCUCGUAGGCGGUGCGUCACGUCGGCCGUGAAAACCUGGGGCUUAACUCUGGGCGUGCGGUCGAUACGGGCAUCACUAGAGUUCGGCAGGGGAGACUGGAAUUCCUGGUGUAGCGGUGAAAUGCGCAGAUAUCAGGAGGAACACCGGUGGCGAAGGCGGGGUCUCUGGGCCGAUACUGACGCUGAGGAGCGAAAGCAUGGGGGAGCGAACAGG